CCUUAUUUGAUUUUCUUCGGAACUGAAGAUUUGGUGAUUGAGUGGCGGACGGGUGAGUAACGCGUGGGUAACCUACCCUGUACAGGGGGAUAACAGUCAGAAAUGACUGCUAAUACCGCAUAAGACCACAGCACCGCAUGGUGCAGGGGUAAAAACUCCGGUGGUACAGGAUGGACCCGCGUCUGAUUAGCUGGUUGGUGAGGUAACGGCUCACCAAGGCGACGAUCAGUAGCCGGCUUGAGAGAGUGAACGGCCACAUUGGGACUGAGACACGGCCCAAACUCCUACGGGAGGCAGCAGUGGGGAAUAUUGCACAAUGGGGGAAACCCUGAUGCAGCGACGCCGCGUGAGUGAAGAAGUAUCUCGGUAUGUAAAGCUCUAUCAGCAGGGAAGAAAAUGACGGUACCUGACUAAGAAGCCCCGGCUAACUACGUGCCAGCAGCCGCGGUAAUACGUAGGGGGCAAGCGUUAUCCGGAAUUACUGGGUGUAAAGGGUGCGUAGGUGGUAUGGCAAGUCAGAAGUGAAAACCCAGGGCUUAACUCUGGGACUGCUUUUGAAACUGUCAGACUGGAGUGCAGGAGAGGUAAGCGGAAUUCCUAGUGUAGCGGUGAAAUGCGUAGAUAUUAGGAGGAACAUCAGUGGCGAAGGCGGCUUACUGGACUGAAACUGACACUGAGGCACGAAAGC
rnacentral:rRNA from 1 species